rnacentral:rRNA from 1 species
UACGUAGGGAGCGAGCGUUGUCCGGAUUCAUUGGGCGUAAAGAGUCUCGUAGGCGGCUUGAUUAGUCGGAUGUGAAACCUCCAGGCUCAACCUGGAGUCGCCAUCCGAUACUGUCAUGGCUAGGAGUCCGGUAGGGGCCCACGGAAUUCCUGGUGUAGCGGUGAAAUGCGCAGAUAUCAGGAGGAACACCGGUGGCGAAGGCGGUGGGCUGGGCCGGCACUGACGCUGAGGAGCGAAAGCGUGGGGAGCGAACAGG